CCUACGGGGAGCAGCAGUGGGGAAUAUUGGGCAAUGGGCGCAAGCCUGACCCAGCAACGCCGCGUGAAGGAAGAAGGCUUUCGGGUUGUAAACUUCUUUUGUCCGGGAAGAGUAGAAGACGGUACCUGACGAAUAAGCCACGGCGAACUACGUGCCAGCAGCCGCGGUAAUACGUAGGGGGCAAGCGUUGUCCGGAUUUACUGGGUGUAAAGGGCGUGUAGCCGGGUUGACAAGUCAGAUGUGAAAUCCUGCGGCUUAACCGCAGAACUGCAUUUGAAACUGUUGAUCUUGAGUACUGGAGAGGCAGACGGAAUGCGUGGUGUAGCGGUGAAAUGCGUAGAUAUCAGGCGGAACACCAGUGGCGAAGGCAGUCUGCUGGACAGCAACUGACGGUGAGGCGCGAAAGCGUGGGGAGCAAACAGGAUUAGAUACCCCAGUAGUC
rnacentral:rRNA from 1 species